rnacentral:rRNA from 1 species
GAUGAACGCUGGCGGCGUGCCUAAUACAUGCAAGUCGAGCGAAUGAAGAGGAGCUUGCUCCUCUGAUUUAGCGGCGGACGGGUGAGUAACACGUGGGUAAUCUGCCUGUAAGACGGGGAUAACUCCGGGAAACCGGGGCUAAUACCGGAUAACAAAAGAAGAAGCAUUUCUUCUUUUUGAAAGUCGGUUUCGGCUGACGCUUACAGAUGAGCCCGCGGCGCAUUAGCUAGUUGGUGAGGUAACGGCUCACCAAGGCGACGAUGCGUAGCCGACCUGAGAGGGUGAUCGGCCACACUGGGACUGAGACACGGCCCAGACUCCUACGGGAGGCAGCAGUAGGGAAUCUUCGGCAAUGGGCGAAAGCCUGACCGAGCAACGCCGCGUGAGCGAUGAAGGCCUUCGGGUCGUAAAGCUCUGUUGUUAGGGAAGAACUGCACCGAGAGGGAAUGCUCGGUGAAUGACGGUACCUUACCAGAAAGCCACGGCUAACUACGUGCCAGCCGCCGCCGUAAGAC